CAUGAAGCGCGGUAAGCUGAUCUCGUACCGGGAGCCCAGGCGUUAUCGAGGAGCAGGAGAGUUGAUCGCGGAACGUUCGGGACAGUCCAGGUUCCCCUGAAAGGAGCCACGCCACCAGCGGCAAUUGCUGUUGUAGCACCAGACCGUGAGAGUUCCCGUCCGGAUCCAGAAGGAGAUCCUGGAAGCUCGGAAUCACCCGGGGGUAGUCUAUUGACAACUCCAACAGACGUGGGAACCAUGGUCGGGAUCUCCACAGAGGAGUGAUCAAAGUCAGGCAACAAUCGUGACGAACCAACUUCGAGAGCGUUCGGGUGAUCAUGUUGAAUGGUGGAAAUGCAUAAAGGCAGCCCGGUGGCCAUUCCUGGAGAAAGGCGUCCGUCGCCACUGCCGCCGGGUCCGGCCUCCAACUGUAAAAUUUUGGUAGUUGGGUGUUCAUACGGGACGCGAACAGAUCCAUCCUGAACCGGCCCCAUAGUCUGUCUAGGCUUUGGAAUACCG